UCCCAGCGGUCCAAGUCGCAAUCACAAUUAUUGGGUCUAAAACAUCCGUAGCUUGCUUAGUAAGUCUCUUGUGAAAUCUGGCCUCUUAAGGGUCAACGUGCAAGAGAUACUGCAAAGCUAGAGACCGGGAGAAGUAAGAAGUACGGUCGGGGUACCGGUAAAAUGGGUUGAUCCCGUCUGGACUAACAACAGCGAAGGCAUCUUACUAGCACGGAUCUGACAGUGAGGGAUGAAGGCUAGGGGCGCAAAAGGG
rnacentral:rRNA from 1 species